UUCAAAAUAAUUUAAUAAAAAUUUAAAUUUUGUAAAUUUAAUAUCCUACACUAAAAUAGGUUUUGAAU
rnacentral:tRNA from 1 species